UUUCAACUAGACACCCCCAAAUCAGUAGAAACUGAAGUUAGAAAUAGAAUUUCUUUCACUUGGUCACAAGGAUGUAAAGCAAAGAUUUCAAACAUAGUGAACACAUUUGGAUGAAAUUUUAAUAGUCUUCAAUGAGUAAAAAGCUCCCCUUAAAGUAAAUGGCAUAAGGGUAUGAAUUUGAUUUUUCUACGAUUUUUUUCUAAAUAUAAUGCUUGGUGAAAACGUCAAAGAGAAGCUGGCACACAAGUGGAAAACUACAAAGAAAACCAAAAGAGGAGCUUCUAGGAAGAUGGUGGAGCGAAAGGCAGCAGCGAAGGAGCCUCAGUGAGAUUUGGUGUCCAGACACUGGAAUCUAGCAACGUCAUCAACUGACUGGUGGAGGGCAGCCACAGUAUGCAGAGCCAUCUGCUGGUUAGACUGUUAAUCCUAUCUAAGAACUCCUUUCCCAGCGACCUCUACCGUGGAUGAUAUUGCCCAGCCAAUCUGACAUUUAACAUUAUCGUGUUGUAUAAAUGAUGCCCCUAAGUCAAAAUUCAUUUUGCAGAGUUGAUUUGGUUUUUGUUAUGAUAUCACUUUUACUUAGAACAGAGAUACAUUGGACAUUCUGAAUCUAAAGCUGAGAUUUUCAGAGCCUCUGAUGCCCGAGAAGGGUCACUCCUAAGAUCUGUUACACAGGACCAGAAAGAAACAGAGCCAAGCAGCUCUAGGCUCUGUGCUCACCCCUCCUCCUGAGGGUGUGCACUACAGGGGCUCAAGGAAAGCCUACCCUGCCAGGAAGUCCUUGUCCUCUCAGUCCAGGGGUGAACAAUGUGGGAAGGAGCCAAAGCGGGAACCAGCAGGCCCUGUGGGCAUGUGGCCUGAGGCCACAGUCAGGGUGCCUUUCCACACAAGUCCCUCUCUUGGCUGGAGCUGGAGGACUCAUCUCCCUGCACCCGAGCUCCAAGUGAGCAGCUCUCUGAUGAAUUUUCCUUUGCCUGGAUGCUACCUCUAAACUGUAGUUUCCUCGAAGAUACAAUGGGAGAAAUAGUGGACGCUGUGAUCCAGUGUUGAUGUGAAAUCCUUAAUGCAAUCAAAUAAAGCCUGUUUCACUACUA